rnacentral:rRNA from 1 species
ACGAACGCUGGCGGCAUGCCUAACACAUGCAAGUCGCACGAGACCUUCGGGUCUAGUGGCGCACGGGUGCGUAACGCGUGGGAACCUGCCCUUAGGUUCGGAAUAACUCCCCGAAAGGGGUGCUAAUACCGGAUAAUGUCUUCGGACCAAAGAUUUAUCGCCUUUGGAUGGGCCCGCGUUGGAUUAGCUAGUUGGUAGGGUAAAAGCCUACCAAGGCGACGAUCCAUAGCUGGUCUGAGAGGAUGAUCAGCCACACUGGGACUGAGACACGGCCCAGACUCCUACGGGAGGCAGCAGUGGGGACUAUUGGACAAUGGGCGAAAGCCUGAUCCAGCCAUGCCGCGUGAGUGAUGAAGGCCUUAGGGUUGUAAAGCUCUUUUACCCGGGAUGAUAAUGACAGUACCGGGAGAAUAAGCUCCGGCUAACUCCGUG